rnacentral:lncRNA from 1 species
AUGAUAUUGAUACUACCUUUGAGGUCGCCUCUUGGGUGUGGGCUGAAACCUUCAAGUAUCUCGCUGACAACAACGUGUCAUUCGAGCGGAUGCUUCUGAAGCCCUCCAUGGUCGGACCUGGUGCCGACUGUCCCAAGCGCUCGACUCCUGAAGAGGUCGCGGACUACACCCUUCGCAUGCUGAAAUCUCGUGUCCCACCUGCGACUGCUGGAAUCAUGUUCCUCUCUGGAGGUCUCUCCGAGCUUGACUCUACCCUCUACCUGAAUGCGAUGAACCAGUCGCCGAACCCUUGGCACGUGUCUUUCUCCUACGCUCGCGCACUUCAAAACACCGUGCUGAAGACGUGGGCCGGAGACGACGAGA